GACAGAGGGUGCAAACGUUGUUCGGAAUUACUGGGCGUAAAGCGAGUGUAGGCGGUCUGCUAAGUCGGGUGUGAAAGCCCCGGGCUCAACCCGGGAAGUGCACUCGAAACUGGCAGGCUAGAGUACUGGAGAGGUUGGUGGAAUUCUCGGUGUAGAGGUGAAAUUCGUAGAUAUCGAGAGGAACACCGGUGGCGAAGGCGGCCAACUGGACAGAUACUGACGCUGAGACUCGAAAGCGUGGGGAGCGAACAGG
rnacentral:rRNA from 1 species